rnacentral:tRNA from 1 species
GGGGAUGUGGUGGAAUUGGUAGACGCAACGGACUUGAAAAUCCGUCGAUUGUAGAGAUCGUGAGGGUUCAAGUCCCUCCGUCCCCA